CCUGGCUCAGGAUGAACGCUAGCGGCAGGCUUAACACAUGCAAGUCGAGGGGCAGCGCGGGUAGCAAUACCUGGCGGCGACCGGCGGAAGGGUGCGUAACGCGUGAGCAACUUGCCCGUAUCAGGGGGAUAAUCAUUGGAAACGAUGUCUAAUACCCCAUAACAACAGAGGCUGCAUAACCUUUGUUUGAAAGCUGCGGCGGAUACGGAUAGGCUCGCGAGACAUUAGCUAGUUGGCGGGGUAACGGCCCACCAAGGCGACGAUGUCUAGGGGUUCUGAGAGGAAGGUCCCCCACAUUGGAACUGAGACACGGUCCAAACUCCUACGGGAGGCAGCAGUGAGGAAUAUUGGUCAAUGGCCGGAAGGCUGAACCAGCCAUGCCGCGUGCAGGAAUAAGGCCCUAUGGGUCGUAAACUGCUUUUGUGGUGGAGCAAUAAGACGUACGCGUACGUCGAUGAGAGUACAUCACGAAUAAGCAUCGGCUAACUCCGUGCC
rnacentral:rRNA from 1 species